rnacentral:lncRNA from 1 species
AAAAAAUUGAUAGAUUAGUAUAAAAUAUUGAUAAAUAGAUCUGGCAAUCUCGACCCAUACCCGCGGAUGUCCGCGGAUUACCUGCAAUUUUGCGGGUAUGGGUACCAACUUUUUCAACUCAAAAAAUUACGGGUAAAAUAGAUGGGUACCCAUUAAGCUGUGGGUAUUUUGGGUAAUCCACGGGUACCCGCAUAUAUAUUUUUUAAUUACAAAAUAUAUCUUGUUAAUUAAAAAAUAUAUUUUUUUAUUUUACCUAUUCUAACAAUUUUAAUCCUAAUUUCUUAUUGCGUAUCUUUUAUAUUACGAAAUUUCUUUACUUUAAGACUUUAAAUAUUUUUAUUGUAUGUUAUAAUAUUUUAAAUAAUGAGUUAUGUUAAAAUUUUAAAAUUUAUAUAUAUGUGUUUUUGUAAUAUAUCGAAACCUCGGUAGAGAUUAUCGAACUUUACCCAAAUUAGUUAAAGUGCCGAAAGAAAUAGUUGGACAAGUUCUAAUUAGCAUUCGAAAAAGGUUGGAAGGAUUAAAAAAGAGUUCUAAGAGAGUUAGAAGGGUUUUAGUAUUGCUCAGCGCGAAGAGGAGUUGAACAAGUGCUAAAACUGAAGUCUGGGCAUUUUGUACCGGCAUAGAUACGAUGUUGUACCGGUACAAUACUGCAGACCGAGGGGAAGCUGCUCUUGGGUUUGGAAAAUUUUGGCUGUGUUACCGAUGACACCCCUGGUCUGUACCGGUACAGAUAUAGUUUACCUGAGAAGCUGCCCUCGGGUUUGGUUCUGUGCACUCGUGUUACCGGUGACAGGGUAGUCUGUACCGGUACAAAAUGGGUCUGGCAGCAACUUGAGGUCUGCUGCAAAUAUGAAGUUUGAGAGGGCCUUUUUGCAGAUGUAGCAGCUUAUAAGAGACCCCAACACCCUCUAUUCUCUCUCCACUGCAGAGAACACACCUCCCCUUCAUUUUUCUCCCUUUCUCUCUCUAGG